GGGUGCUUAGCUCAGUUGGUAGAGCGCUUCUCUUACACAGAAGAUGUCAGCGGUUCGAGUCCGUUAGCACCCACCA
rnacentral:tRNA from 1 species